UUGACCUCAAAUCAGGUAGGACCACCCGCUGAACUUAAGCAUAUCAAUAAGCGGAGGAAAAGAAACUAACCAGGAUUCCCUUAGUAACUGCGAGUGAACCGGGAAGAGCUCAAAUUUGUAAUCUGGCGGUCAUUCGAUCGUCCGAGUUGUAAUCUAGAGAAGUGUUACCUGCUCUGGACCGUGUACAAGUCUCCUGGAAUGGAGCAUCACAGAGGGUGAGAAUCCCGUCUUUGACAUGGACUGCCAGAGCUUAAUAGGUGUGCUCUCGAAGAGUCGAGUUGUUUGGGAAUGCAGCUCAAAAUGGGUGGUAAAUGCCAUCUAAAGCUAAAUAUUGGCGAGAGACCGAUAGCGAACAAGUACCGUGAGGGAAAGAUGAAAAGAACUUUGGAAAGAGAGUUAAACAGUACGUGAAAUUGCUGAAAGGGAAACGCUUGAAGUCAGUCGCGUCGGUCGGAAAUCAACCUUGCUUCUGCUGGGUGUACUUUCCGUCCGACGGGUCAGCGUCAGUUUCGGUCGCUGGAUAAAGUUCUUGGGAAUGUGGCAUCCUCGGAUGUGUUAUAGCCCUUUGACAUACGCAGCGGCUGGGAUUGAGGAAUUCAGCACGCCCUCCGGGGCUGGGGACUCGUCCCACAAUCUGGGUGCUUAGGAUGCUGGCGUAAUGGCUUUAAUCGACCCGUCUUGAAACACGGACCAAGGAGUCUAACAUGCCUGCGAGUGUUUGGGUGGAAAACCCAUGCGCGCAAUGAAAGUGAAGGUUGAGAUCCCUGUCGUGGGGAGCAUCGACGCCCAGACCAGACCUUCUUGUGACGGAUCUGCGGUAGAGCAUGCAUGUUGGGACCCGAAAGAUGGUGAACUAUGCCUGAAUAGGGUGAAGCCAGAGGAAACUCUGGUGGAGGCUCGUAGCGAUUCUGACGUGCAAAUCGAUCGUCAAAUUUGGGUAUAGGGGCGAAAGACUAAUCGAACCAUCUAGUAGCUG
rnacentral:rRNA from 1 species